UACGUAGGGUGCGAGCGUUGUCCGGAAUUAUUGGGCGUAAAGAGCUUGUAGGCGGUCUGUCGCGUCUGCUGUGAAAAUCCGGGGCUCAACCCCGGACUUGCAGUGGGUACGGGCAGACUAGAGUGUGGUAGGGGAGACUGGAAUUCCUGGUGUAGCGGUGAAAUGCGCAGAUAUCAGGAGGAACACCGAUGGCGAAGGCAGGACUCUGGGCCACUACUGACGCUGAGAAGCGAAAGCAUGGGGAGCGAACAGG
rnacentral:rRNA from 1 species